CUGUAAUCCUAACUCCUAUCCCCUUCUUCUAGGUCAUUUCUUCUCCUAUCUCUCUAUGUGAUCUUCAACCCCCAUCUAGCCCUUGCUCCAAUCCAGGGCAUGUCAUAUUAUUUCUCAUGCGGAAUUUCCUUUCCUUGCAUUUGUUGGGAAUUUGCAAAUUUGGUUUUCUCCUAAAGCCAAAGAAGAAUUGAUAAUAAAUACUCCAUUGCUUAAACUCGAGUAUAUGAAGGUGGAAAUUUCUUCAGGAUUGAAUUAUUAGACAAGUAGUUACAUUAGCAAUUUGAGGAAGCAACAAAUUUUUAUUUAUUUUUUAAUUUAUCAAUAUUCUUGUAUUUCUAUUAGACUUUCAUGUUGGAUAUAUUUUACUUUAUUUGUGUUUUAACUUAUGAAGUUUGUAACGAAAUAUUAUCUCAAUAUAAUUUUAGUUCUUUUUAA